AUGUGCAAGCUAGUUUUAGAAAAGGCAGAGGAACCAGAGAUCAAAUUGCCAACAUCCGCUGGAUCAUGGAAAAAGCAAGAGAGUUCCAGAAAAACAUCUAUUUCUGCUUUAUUGACUAUGCCAAAGUCUUUGACUGUGUGGAUCACAAGAAACUGGAAAGUUCUGAAAGAGAUGGGAAUACCAGACCACCUGACCUGCCUCUUGAGAAAUCUGUAUGCAUGUCAGGAAGCAACAGUUAGAACUGGACAUGGAACAACAGACUGGUUCCAAAUAGGAAAAGGAGUCCGUCAAGGCUGUACAUUAUCACCCUGCUUAUUUAACUUAUAUGCAGAGUACAUCAUGAGAAACGCUGGGCUGGAAGAAGCACAAGCUGGAAUCAAGAUUGCCAGGGGAAAUAUCAAUAACCUCAGAUAUGCAGAUGACAUUACCCUUAUGGUAGAAAGUGAAGAGGAGCUAAAAAGCCUCUUGAUGAAGGUGAAAGAGGAGAGUGAAAAAGUUGGCUUAAAGCUCAACAUUCAGAAAACGAAAAUCAUGGCAUCCGGUCCCAUCACUUCAUGGGAAAUAGAUGGGGAAACAGUGGAAACAGUGUCAGACUUUAUUUUUUGGGGCUCCAAAAUCACUGUAGAUGGUGACUGCAGCCAUGAAAUUAAAAGAUGCUUACUCCUUGGAAGAAAAGUUAUGACCAACCUAAAUAGUAUAUUCAAAAGCAGAGACAUUAUUUUGCCGACUAAAGUCCGUCUAGUCAAGGCUAUGGUUUUUCCAUUGGUCAUGUAUGGAUGUGAGAGUUGGACUGUGAAGAAGGCUGAGUGCCGAAGAAUUGAUGCUUUUGAACUGUGGUGUUGGAGGAGACUCUUGAGCAUCACUUGGACUGCAAGGAGAUACAGCCAGUCCAUUCUGAAGGAGAUCAGCCCUGGAAUUUCUUUGGAAGGAAUGAUACUAAAGGUGAAGCUCCAGUACUUUGGCCACCUCAUGCGAAGAGUUGAUUCAUUGGAAAAGACUCUGAUGCCUGGAGGGGCUGGGGGCAGGAGGAGAAGGGGACGACAGAGGAUGAGAUGGCUGGAUUGCAUCACGGACUCGAUGGACGUGAGUCUGAGUGAACUCUGGGAGAUGGUGAUGGACAGGGAGGCCUGGCGUGCUGCGAUUCAUGGGGUCCCAAAGAGUCGGACACGACUGAGCGACUGA
rnacentral:lncRNA from 1 species